rnacentral:rRNA from 2 species
GGAUCAAUUGAUUGGUCAUGCCGUUGGUAUGUACUGGUCAUAUUGGUUCUCACCUUCUAAGGAACCAUAAUGUCAUUAAUUUGAUGUUUUGGGGAAUUAGGACUGUUACCUUGAAAAAAUUAGAGUGUUUAAAGCAGGCUAACGCUUGAAUACAUUAGCAUGGAAUAAUGAAAUAGGACAUCGCAUUCUAUUUUGUUGGUUUCUAGGAUCGAUGUA